rnacentral:rRNA from 1 species
CCUACGGGUGGCAGCAGUGAGGAAUAUUGGUCAAUGGACGCAAGUCUGAACCAGCCAUGCCGCGUGCAGGAUGACGGCUCUAUGAGUUGUAAACUGCUUUUGUACGAGGGUAAACCCCGAUACGUGUAUCGUGUUGAAUGUAUCGUACGAAUAAGGAUCGGCUAACUCCGUGCCAGCAGCCGCGGUAAUACGGAGGAUCCGAGCGUUAUCCGGAUUUAUUGGGUUUAAAGGGUGCGUAGACGGGUUGUUAAGUUAGAGGUGAAAGGUCGCGGCUCAACCCCGAAACUGCAGCUAAUACUGGUGGACUAGAGAACAGUUGAGGUAGGCGGAAUGUGUGGUGUAGCGGUGAAAUGCUUAGAGAUCAGAGAGAACACCGAUUGCGAAGGCAGCUUACCAAACUAUAUCUGACGUUGAGGCACGAAAGCGUGGGUAGCAAACAGGAUUAGAUACCCUAGUAGUC